rnacentral:rRNA from 1 species
GGGUUAGUAGGUUGGUCAUGCCUCUGGUAUGUACUGGUCUCACUGAUUCCUCCUUCCUGAUGAACCUUAAUGCCAUUAAUCUGGUGUUUUGGGGAAUUUGGACUGUUACUUCGAAAAAAUUAGACUGUUUAAAGCAAGCUAACGCUUGAAUACAUUAGCAUGGAAUAAUGAAAUAGGACGUUCGAUCCUAUUUAGUUGGUUUCUAGGAUUGACGUA